UGGGGAAUAUUGGGCAAUGGGCGAAAGCCUGACCCAGCAACGCCGCGUGAGGGAAGAAGGUUUUCGGAUUGUAAACCUCUGUCCUUGGUGACGAAGGAAGUGACGGUAGCCAAGGAGGAAGCCCCGGCUAACUACGUGCC
rnacentral:rRNA from 1 species